AUGAACAUGCAAAAAAACUGGCAAAAGGACUCACGAGUUAUGACGGGUGAAAAUGCAGAGCCUUCAUGCAGCACGUGGCAUCAGGCAACACCCAUGUACCUGCCAUCGACAUCAUACACAGCAAACGUCUCAUGGCAAGCUUCACAAAUUGCAGGUGGAGCACGUCAUUAUGGUGUCACAGACCACACAAGAUGGUCAAAUGCAGCACAACAAGGGCCUACAACUACACUGAAUAGCAGCGCGGGGACAUCUACUGCGGGGAGCUUUGAGCGCACGGAAGACGCGUUCUACCAGCCAGCAGACAAUCAUGCCGCAAACAAUUUCGAGUCAGAGUCGGGAAUGGCAAUCAUUCCAGCAAUGCCGACAAGCACUGGCAACACUCAAGUAGAUGGAACUGCCGCCGAUACUGAAGUAAAUGAUGAAACUGACGACGACGCACAAGCGGAUGAAGAUGGUGGGCAAUUAGAGAUCGUGACAUAUGCAAAGUUCCAUGGAUUUGUGGUCAACACCAAGUACCAUAGGAAAAUUAAGAAAACUAACGAGUACAGCAGAGGUGAGAUGAGGUGCCACAAGGCACAGAAGAACAAGAAGGGGAAAGGUGUUGCGCCUGUCGUUCCGGAACGAAAGAGAGGUAUCAUUCUCAAGACUGAGUGCCCUGUCCGGUGGAGAUUUGGACAAUUUUCGGUGAAGUCAGCGUAUGAGUUUGCUUUUGAGGAAGCCAACAGAGAAUCUCAACCUGCGUCUAGCACUAAUCCAAAGGGUUGCCGGGCCAUCUGGAACCUGAUAUGGAAAACGGAUGUUCCUCCAACAGUCAAAAACUUUGCUUGGAGAGUGGUCUCAGAUUCCCUUCCUACUUGGGUUAACAAGCAUAAGAGGACCUUAGAAAUCACCAGCAUAUGUCCGGUGUGUGGUGUGGAACCGGAAGACAACUUCCAUCCUCUAUGUCGCUGCCCUAGAGCAAGAGAAUUAUGGUGCUAUAUGUCAGAGGUUUGGAACCUCCCACCGGUGGAUACCAUUCAGAAUGUUGGGAAGGAAUGGCUGUUCCAAGUGCUACAGCCACUUCAUGAAUUAGAGAGGUCCAUGCUUCUUAUGACGCUCUGGAGGUGUUGGUUCAUUCGUAAUGAGAUAGUGCACAAUAAGACUCCGCCUCCCCUUGAGGUAUCGAGGAGGUUCCUUGUCAGCUAUCUGGAGUCACUAAUUGCUAUCAAAACGAACAUGCAUAUGGAUCCAGCCAAGGGGAAGUCAAUUAUCUCCUUUGAUCGCACGUUAACCCUUGCUGAUGCGCCCGUACUGGCCGCCCUGAAGUGGGCUGCACCACCGGAAGGGUGGGUAAAGCUAAACACGGACGGCUCUUUUCAUGAUGGUAGGGCAGGUGCAGGUAUGGUAUUACGGGAUCCUUCGGGGGAUGUAAUCUUUUCAGCUUGCAGAACACUUUACUCGUGUCGUGAAGCUUUGGAGGCAGAGCUGGGUGCUUGCAUGGAAGGUCUUUCUCUAGCGAUCCAGAGAAGUGAUCGUCCAGUGACCAUUGAGUUGGAUUCACUUGUUGCUAUAAAGCUGAUUCAAGGACAGGAGACAGAUAGGUCUAUUUAUGCUUCUUUAGUAAAAGAGAUUAGAUAUCUUUUAUCCCUUCGUGAAUGUUGUAUUACUCAUGUAAACCGGUCUCAAAAUCAGGUUAGCGAUAGUCUAGCAAAUUUUGCUCGUACCGAGGGAAGAACCAUGACUUGGAUUGGCUCUGGUCCCCCGAUAGUGCUUGAGCUAGUCGCCGCUGAAUGUAACUCUUUGUUGGCUUGA
rnacentral:rRNA from 1 species